AUUGAACGCUGGCGGCAGGCUUAACACAUGCAAGUCGAGCGGAGAUGAGGUGCUUGUACCUUAUCUUAGCGGCGGACGGGUGAGUAAUGCUUAGGAAUCUGCCUAUUAGUGGGGGACAACAUUCCGAAAGGAAUGCUAAUACCGCAUACGUCCUACGGGAGAAAGCAGGGGAUCUUCGGACCUUGCGCUAAUAGAUGAGCCUAAGUCGGAUCAGCUAGUUGGUGGGGUAAAGGCCUACCAAGGCGACGAUCUGUAGCGGGUCUGAGAGGAUGAUCCGCCACACUGGGACUGAGACACGGCCCAGACUCCUACGGGAGGUAGCAGUAGGAAAUAUUGGACAAUGGGGGGAACCCUGAUCCAGCCAUGCCGCGUGUGUGAAGAAGGCCUUAUGGUUGUAAAGCACUUUAAGCGAGGAGGAGGCUACUGAGACUAAUACUCUUGGAUAGUGGACGUUACUCGCAGAAUAAGCACCGGCUAACUCUGUGCCAGCCGCCGCGGUAA
rnacentral:rRNA from 1 species